UGCAAUUUUCCACGCAAUAUACGCAACGCGCAUUUUCUUGGCAACAGCACCCGCGUUACAUGUUUUCACACUUUAAAAAUAGCAUUAACAGGAGCUAAAUUCAGUUUUUCUAAGAAACUAAAAUUAGUUAUUAGUGGGUUUUUAAUUAAACAAUUUUGUGUAUAUUUAAAAUUAAAUUUUAAAAAACAAAAAAUAUUUAAAUUUAGAAUAAAAUAGCGUAAAACUUUCGAUUUCACGAACUGCAGUGUGCGGUCAAAAAGAGAAAUUUUGAAAACAAAAAUCGCUGUUUUUAAAUUUGGUAGGUGGGCGCUGCGUUGGUUUAUGUUGCUGCCAGUUAAUAAAGUCGGUGGGUGGAAAAUAUUUCACAAGAUGUCAUAACAAAUUUAUACGAUGUUGGAUUUUUCUUUAUAUUUGAAUUUGAGGGUAUUUUAUAUGAAAAGAAAAAUUGGCUACAAAUGAAGGCGACAACGACGACAACGAUGACGACCGACGACUUACGGUCCUUGAUGGUUAAAGUUUUGGUUUUGGUUUUAUAGGAGUUUUAUGGGAAUUUGUUUUUUUUUUGUAAUGGAAUAAACACAAAUAAAGUAGAAAACAUAAAAAAGAAUGAUUUUGUUUUUUUUUUUUUUUUUUUAAAGUAAAGAGAAUAAUUUAAAACCAGACGAAUCACCAAGAGUGAUGUUUGGUUAUGAA